rnacentral:rRNA from 1 species
GACGAACGCUGGCGGUGUGCUUAACACAUGCAAGUGGAGCGACGAACCAGGGCUUGCCCUGGGGCAGAGCCGCGAACGGGUGAGUAACACGUGGGUAACCUACCCCGAUGCCUGGGACAACCCGAGGAAACUCGGGCUAAUACCGGAUGUGUCCGACGUCCACGAGGACGUCGAGCAAAGGAAGCUUAGGCCCCCGCAUCGGGACGGGCCCGCGGCCCAUUAGCUUGUUGGUGGGGCAACGGCCUACCAACGCUGCGAUGGGUAGCUGGUCUGAGAGGACGAUCAGCCACACUGGGACUGAGACACGGCGCAGACUCCUACGGGAGGCAGCAGUGGUGAGUCUUGCGCAAUGCGCGAAAGCGUGACGCAGCAACACCGCGUGAGGGAAGGCGGCCUUCGGGUUGUAAACCUCUUUCAGGGGGGACGAAGGCCGGCCGGUUAACAGCCGUGCCGGCUGACGGUACCUCCACAAGAAGCUCCGGCUAACUACGUGCCAGCCGCCGCGGUAAAAC